rnacentral:rRNA from 1 species
AAAGCGUAGUACAGUCGACGGUAACAGGAAGAGCUUGCUGCUUUGCUGACGAGUGGCGGACGGGUGAGUAAUGUCUGGGAAACUGCCUGAUGGAGGGGGAUAACUACUGGAAACGGUAGCUAAUACCGCAUAACGUCGCAAGACCAAAGAGGGGGACCUUCGGGCCUCUUGCCAUCGGAUGUGCCCAGAUGGGAUUAGCUAGUAGGUGGGGUAACGGCUCACCUAGGCGACGAUCCCUAGCUGGUCUGAGAGGAUGACCAGCCACACUGGAACUGAGACACGGUCCAGACUCCUACGGGAGGCAGCAGUGGGA